rnacentral:pre_miRNA from 1 species
AGAUGUAACCGGAUCCUGGGCUGUGUCCCGGCGCCCUGUGCUCCGGGGCCUGCGCUGUAGGAUUCGCGCUCCCGGGACGCAGCCCCCU